UCAUCUUGUUUUCCUUCCUUUUCCUCUUCUACCUUUUUGUCAUUUUUCUCCCCCACUCUCCGGAAUUUUCCAUAAAAAUAUCUUGAACUGUCCAUUGCUUGAAAGAUCUUACUUGCAGCACACACAAACAACUUUUCCUUUUCGCUCGAAUAGAAAGAGAUAAUAAGUUUUUGUUGGUUUUUUGGUUUGAGUUUGAUGAAUCCAGA
rnacentral:ribozyme from 13 species